GGUCUAAUUUUUUACAUUACAUUACUACCCAUUCACUCAUUGGCAAUAAAAAACAAUUAAUACAUUGCAUAUAGAACUUUUAAGGCAUAUGUCACAAAAAUUACAACCAAUGUUUUGUUUCUAAACAUGAUUAAAACCUAAUUUGACUAUGACUAAUUUGACUAUGUACAAUGUAUUUUCCCCCUUCUUUUUUCCUACUUGUAGACCCAUCGGGGGGACAUUUCCUACAUUCACUCACAUAUGGCAAGAAUGAAUUCCUGCCAAUUGGUGCCUGCUACAGACAUUGCUUUUUCCAAACUGAGAUUGGCUGAACUAGUGUCCAAAGUGGAAGAACUCCCUCUAGAUGUCCCCAGUUUCCUAAGAUGGCAGUUAUCAAUCGCUCCCCCAUUACCUCUCCUACCUCCUCUAAAACACUUGACCUAGUUGGAAGAAGUUGAGCAGAUUCUUCAGAGUGAAGAUAUGUGUGAUGGUGGGCCAUUUGCCACUGUGGGAGGAGCAUCAGUUGAGGCGCGGCUUAGAGGAUGCUGGCCUGUACUCCAGCUAACAAGCUGGCCUCUCAGAUGAACUUGGCAGGGAAGAAACUAAAAGAUGCACGUAAAGGAAAAUUGCAUUCAGAGACACCAGGCUCAAGAUGUGCAUGUUUGACCCUGCUAUUCUCCUCCUGCCCACCAGUUGUCCUUAUUGUGUUCCUACUUUUUCCAUUCACCUGACCUUGCACCUGCCUGCAGACUCGAUCCUCAUUACCCCAUUAUCCAAAAUGUUUAUACUGUAGACCUGCACAGUACCCUAGUCAUUAGCCACAGUGUGUAUCAUGUCUUCCAAUCAUAACGUUGCAGCCCUUUUUUUGCAUGAGUCUACGCUAGUUAUUUUUUGCUUUUUCCUGCCUGCCUUAUCUUGACUGCCUUAACUUUUUAUUGCUUUGUGAAGCACUUUGUAACAUUUGUUUUUAAAAGAUCUAUAUAAACAAAUAAAUACAUUAUCAUUAUUAUUAUUAUUAUUAUUAUUAACGCUUUACCUGUUUAACCUGUUGGUGUCCUGUGUUGUGCCUGCUGACAAAGUAAAUUCUUUUCAUAAUGA